rnacentral:rRNA from 1 species
UGGUCAAGUUAUUAAGGGUGCAGGGCGGAUGCCUUGGCACUAGGAGCCGAUGAAGGACGUGAUAAGCUGCGAUAAGCUUCGGCCGAUGAAGGACGUGAUAAGCUGCGAUAAGCUUCGGGGAGUUGCACGUAAACUUUGAUCCGAAGAUUUCCGAAUGAGGAAACUCACUUAGAGUAAUGUCUAAGUAUCAUUAAGUGAAUAUAUAGCUUAAUGAGGGGAACUCAGGGAACUGAAACAUCUAAGUACCUGAAGGAAGAGAAAGAAAUUCGAUUCCGUAAGUAGCGGCGAGCGAACGCGGAUUAGCCCAAACCAAUAAAGUUUUCUUUGUUGGGGUUGCGGACAUAUCAUAACGAAGAGGUAUCGUAAUUGAAGAGGUUUGGAAAGACCCACCACAGAAGGUAAUAGUCCUGUAUGUUAAACGAGAAGACUUCAGAUAUGAUCCAGAGUACCACGGGACACGUGAAACCCUGUGGGAAGCAGGAGGGACCACCCUCCAAGGCUAAAUACUACCUAGUGACCGAUAGCGUAUAGUACCGUGAGGGAAAGGUGAAAAGAACCCCGGGAGGGGAGUGAAAU